rnacentral:rRNA from 1 species
CCUGCCCAAGAGAUCGGGAUAACACCUGGAAACAGAUGCUAAUACCGGAUAACAACAGAUGAUGCCUAUCAACUGUUUAAAAGAUGGUUCUGCUAUCACUCUUGGAUGGACCUGCGGUGCAUUAGCUAGUUGGUAGGGUAACGGCCUGCCAAGGCGAUGAUGCAUAGCCGAGUUGAGAGACUGAUCGGCCACAUUGGGACUGAGACACGGCCCAAACUCCUACGGGAGGCAGCAGUC